GAUGAACGCUAGCGGCAGGCUUAACACAUGCAAGUCGAGGGGUAUAGUUCUUCGGAACUAGAGACCGGCGCACGGGUGCGUAACGCGUAUGCAAUCUACCUUUUGCAGAGGGAUAGCCCCAGAGAAAUUUGGAUUAAUACCUCAUAGUAUAGCAGUUUCGCAUGAAACCACUAUUAAAGUCACAACGGCAAAAGAUGAGCAUGCGUCCCAUUAGCUAGUUGGUAAGGUAACGGCUUACCAAGGCUACGAUGGGUAGGGGUCCUGAGAGGGAGAUCCCCCACACUGGUACUGAGACACGGACCAGACUCCUACGGGAGGCAGCAGUGAGGAAUAUUGGACAAUGGGCGCAAGCCUGAUCCAGCCAUGCCGCGUGCAGGAUGACGGUCCUAUGGAUUGUAAACUGCUUUUAUACAGGAGAAACACUCCGACGUGUCGGAGCUUGACGGUACUGUAAGAAUAAGGAUCGGCU
rnacentral:rRNA from 1 species